CAGCAGCCGCGGUAAUACGUAGGGUGCGAGCGUUAAUCGGAUUUACUGGGCGUAAAGCGUGCGCAGGCGGCCCGUUAAGACAGGUGUGAAAUCCCUGGGCUCAACCUAGGAAUUGCGCUUGUGACUGGCGGGCUCGAGUACGGUAGAGGGGGGUGGAAUUCCUGGUGUAGCAGUGAAAUGCGUAGAGAUCAGGAGGAACACCGAUGGCGAAGGCAGCCCCCUGGGCCUGGACUGACGCUCAUGCACGAAAGCGUGGGGAGCAAACAGGAUUAGAUACCCUGGUAGUCCACGCCCUAAACGAUGGGUACUAGCCGUUUGGUGCGCGAUAGCGCUGAGUGGCGAAGCUAACGCGUGAAGUACCCCGCCUGGGGAGUACGGCCGCAAGGUUGAAACUUAAAGGAAUUGGCGGG
rnacentral:rRNA from 1 species